ACGUGAACUCAGUGACUGUCCACCAGACUCCCCCAUAUGUUUCCAAAGUUGUUAGCGACAGUGUGGAACUGAAGUGUAUGGUUGAGGUAGCCAGUGAUGAUUACAUGUACUGGUAUAGACAAUAUCCAGGGAAGGAACUUCAGCUAUUGUUUUACUCCAGUACUACACAGUAUGUGAUUCCAGACGGGACAGUGGACGGUUUCAGCGCUGAGCGACCAAGUGCUUCUGUGUUUAAGCUGAAGUCCUCCAGCCUUCAAGCGAAUCAUUCAGCCGUGUAUUACUGCGCCUGGAGUCUUCACAGUGACGCAGAGAGAGGGAGCAGUUCAACAAAAGCCUCCUGA